GAGUUUGAUCAUGGCUCAGAUUGAACGCUGGCGGCAGGCCUAACACAUGCAAGUCGAGCGGAUGACGGGAGCUUGCUCCUUGAUUCAGCGGCGGACGGGUGAGUAAUGCCUAGGAAUCUGCCUGGUAGUGGGGGACAACGUUUCGAAAGGAACGCUAAUACCGCAUACGUCCUACGGGAGAAAGCAGGGGACCUUCGGGCCUUGCGCUAUCAGAUGAGCCUAGGUCGGAUUAGCUAGUUGGUGGGGUAAUGGCUCACCAAGGCGACGAUCCGUAACUGGUCUGAGAGGAUGAUCAGUCACACUGGAACUGAGACACGGUCCAGACUCCUACGGGAGGCAGCAGUGGGGGAAUAUUGGACAAUGGGCGAAAGCCUGAUCCAGCCAUGCCGCGUGUGUGAAGAAGGUCUUCGGAUUGUAAAGCACUUUAAGUUGGGAGGAAGGGCAGUAAGUUAAUACCUUGCUGUUUUGACGUUACCGACAGAAUAAGCACCAGCUAACUCUGUGCCAG
rnacentral:rRNA from 1 species